ACCAGCAGGAGAUGUUGGUGGGAUCAGGAGAAGUUGUGGGAUCAGGAGAGGUUGGUGGAAUCAGGAGAAGUUGGUGGGAUCAGGAGAGGUUGGUGGGAUCAGGGAACAUUGGUGGGAUCAGGAGAAGUUGUGGGAUCAGGAGAAGUUGCUGGGAUCAGGGGAUGUUGGUGGGAUCAGGAGAAGUUGUGGGAUCACCACAGGCUGGAGUUGAUCCCGCUCCUGCCCCUGAUCCCUCCAUGGGUGGAAGGUCCCACCCGGAGCUGCCCCGAGGGUCCCCCCGGUCCCACCUGGGUCUCCGCAGGGAGAUGUUCCGGGUGUUGUUGGAGAUCUCGAUCUGCACCGAGCGGCUCAGCAGCGACCCCAUCCUCGGAUCGGGGGUCUCCUCGGGUCUGGGGUCUCCUCGGGUCUGGGGUCUCCUCGGCUCGGGGGUCUCCUCGGGUCUGGGGUCUCCUCAGCUCGGGGGUCUCCUCGGAUCUGGGGUCUCCUUGGGUCUGGGGUCUCCUCAGCUCUGGGAUCAAUUGCUGUACAAAACCCUCGCUCACGGUGAGAGUCUUCUCCAGGGUGAAGCUGUUCAGGUGUCAGCAGCUUGUGACAAGGGUAGAGAGAGGGACAGAGCCGUGUCCACUACCAGCCUCAGUGUCACCGUGGUCAGAGAGGGAGGGAGAAGAGCGAGGAGAGCAGGAGGAGAGAGGUUCAAGAGGGGGAGGGAGGAACCAGGAGAGAGGGAGGGAGAGCGAGGAGAACCAGGGAGGCUCAGGAGAGAGAGGAGAACAGGAGAAGACCAAAAGGGGACACAGGGGACUCAAGAGGGGACAACGAGAGCGACAGAGAAGGGGGAGAAGCGCGGGAGAGAGGGAAAACCAAGAGAGCCGAGUUCCAGUUCCAACACAAUUUAUCCGUUUCUCCAGGAAUAUUUUCAUUCCCAGGAUCCAAUCAGCAGCAGCCACACCCACCAAAGGACUUUCAUCCACCCUGGAGAAACGACUUCAUUCCCAUUCCCACCUCUAAAAGCUUUCAGAAGUCUUCUCCAGCUGACGGACCUUUGGAUUCUUUAUCAGGAGAAGGAAAUUGUUUCAUCUGUCAGGGGUUCUCCUUUAUCUGGCCGGGUUUUUGUUCUUUGCGUAUUCAUUAACCGGCGCUCGAUGUCCCAUGGCUCAAAGCCAGCUUUCGUUUUUGCUCCUGCUCCAGACUUCUGA
rnacentral:lncRNA from 1 species